rnacentral:rRNA from 1 species
UACAGAGGUCUCAAGCGUUGUUCGGAUUCAUUGGGCGUAAAGGGUGCGUAGGCGGCCUGGCGCGUCGGCUGUGAAAUCUCCCGGCUCAACUGGGAGGGGACGGCCGAUACGGCUGGGCUUGAGCGAGGUAGGGGAGAGUGGAAUUCCCGGUGUAGUGGUGGAAUGCGUAGAUAUCGGGAGGAACGACCAGUGGCGAAGGCGGCUCUCUGGACCUCUGGCUGACGCUGAGGCG